AUGGCGUACUCCUCCUGUUUGAAUCGGAGUUUGAAACCAAACAAACUUCUCCUCAGGAAGAUAGAUGGGGCGAUUCAGGUGAGAUCCCAUGUAGAUCUAACUUUCUAUUCACUCGUGGGAUCCGGGCGGUCCGGGGGGGGGGGGCACCACGGCUCCUCUCUUCUCGAGAAUCCAUACAUCCCUUAUCAGUGUAUGGAGAGCUAUCUCUCGAGCACAGGUUGA
rnacentral:rRNA from 1 species